CUUGUUUAAGAAAGAGACUUAAGAAAUUGUGUGAAUGGGAGAGGCUUGUCAACCAGCAAGUGAGUGAGCAGGAAAGUAGCUGUCCACUGGGCAGUCCCUGAAUGCUAUAUCUAGAGGUGCUCAACUUCUUUAGAAGAGAACUUCUCACUUAAACUUUUUAAACUUUUUUUCCCCUAGGGAACAGAUUGCAGCUUCCAAGAGCUGUGUAUAUAGAGAGGGGAGAGAUGGUAGGACUCACCUGCCUCCUCACAUGGCUUGAGGAGCCGUGUCUCCAACCUGGGUUCAAGUCCUGGUCCCCUUCCUGGGCAACCUUGACAUGGGUAUCCUGUCCUUUUCAUCGCAGCCAGGUUGGGCUGGAAAAAGACCCGGGAUUCCCCCCAGGGCUGAACCGGCUGGUCCUCAAACAAAAUGGCCGCCGCGCUUUCCCUUCCUCGGCCGGGAGGGCAUCUCUGCCAGGAGGUGGCACCACGAGCUCAUGUUUCCAGCAGAGACGUGUCUGACCAUUUGGUAAUCGCCCCUCAGCAUUGCAAGGAGCCUGAAAACUCGCCUAUUUUAUAGCUGCCUCUACAUAGACUUUUAAUCACGGUGCUGUUGGUGUGAUUGGAUUUUCCACUUUUCAGCUUGCUUCCAGGAGAUCAAAAUCAUCUUCCUGCGGACUGUCCUCAGUAUUUACGAAAGGGGUAAAGAGAGAAUGUGGCAAGGCCAGCUUCCCCACUGUGGUCUUUCCCUGUGCUCAGAAUCACAACUACAGACUCCAG
ensembl:lncRNA